UGAGUGCCAGGCCCUGCUCUGCGGUCGUUGCCUUAUUUCACUUUCAUCUGACCUCCGAGAUGGGUUUUGUUACUUCUCCAUUCUGCAGACGAGGAAGCCGAAGCACAGAGCUAGCUCUCUUGCCCAGGUCACUUGGCCAGAGAGGAGCCGACUCCAGAGCCCUCGGCUUUUCACCAGCUUCUUGGGGUCUCCGCUGUCCCGCCACCUGCCCCCUGCUCUGACAUAGGUCCAGAGGAUCCCUCUGGUCCACUGAGGGGCCAUCACCUGGCGACAAGGAGACGCAGCCUGUGGUGGAGGGCGGGGGGAGGGAGGACAGGAGUGUUGCCCUUUGACCCAGCUGCUCAGUGAGCAGUUCUCUCGCCCUGCCCUUUGCCCUCUUCUCGUCUAGCUGGUUUCAUGCCAACCUGUGCCUUCCGGCCAGACCCUGAGGUGGAUGGAGAAAGGACGGAGAAAAUGGGAAGCUGGCCCAGGGGAUGGAGGCAUUCUCUGCAACUUCAGGACCAAAGAUGUCAGUGCUGCCCCGAGCUGCUUCUCCUUUGAGUCUUGAUCUCCUGGUCAGACCCAUCCAUCAGCCCGGGAUUGCUCCUUGACCAUACAACUGCUUCCCUGUGUGGGUGGCCUCUGGCCCUGCUGUGCACACCACCUUCUGAGGAUGCACUUUGGAAGAAACCCAGUUCAGAAGAGACUGUUAGCCCUCCGUGGAAAUCACCUAGGAGACAGCCUGUCUGCGAAUGCCCCAAAUCCAAUCAAGGUGACCUGGGCAAAGCCUCCAAGAGGCUGAUGAUCCUGCUGGUAACUUAUCUAACUAAUUGCAUUGUCCUCUGCCUGAGGGGGUCAUGGCAAUGCGAGGGGGCUGUCCUGCAGGUGGUUAUACAGGAGACCCGGGAGACCAACCCUGGCACCGUCCGGGAGAGUCAGUGCCCUGUCCCUCCAACGUCAGUGGGCAGCCACGGGAUAGGUGUGCCCACGGUGGCAUGGAUUUCUCGAAGUUCGACGACAGCAGCCAUUAAAGUCAUGCAAUGCCCUGGCCUUGUUCCAAGGCCCCCGGGAGAGAUGUGUCCGAGCCUCUAGGGGUAGUGGUUCUGCCUGCAAAUUAAUCAUGGAACAUUCUGGUUCCAUGUGCUGUCCUUUGUGUGUUGGGUUCCUGUGCGUCUGCCCUGGGUUGGAUUUGUCCGUGACUUUGCACACCCCAGCUGAGGACCAGGUGCCAGGUAGCAAGGAGGACGUGCAAUGAGGCCACCUUGUCUGGUGACCGGCGCUUUCCCUCACUGGCCACAUCUUCUCCCAACACUUUUGCCCCUGCCGUUGGCUCUGGGCUCUUAGCUCAGGGUACUUCAAGACAAUAAAUACUUUCUGCAUGGUGGACUGAUUGAUGGGUCUAGGGGGUGGAGGGAAAACAGACCAGCUCAGCUUAGGUCUCAGGAAGGCGUGGGGAGAAGGCCACGGUCCCGGGGGGCUAGAAGGGGAACGAAUGAGUGAACACUGGCGGAACGUCUGCCUUGUCUGGGCGCUGGCUGAGUGUGUCAACGUUCACUCCCUCCUUUGCCCUGGGAGCCCUGUGCUAUUUCCUGUUAUUUAUUAACUUGUAUUAUAUUUUUUCCCUGUAAUGUUUACAGGGAUGAGGACUGGAGGUCCAGAGCAGAUAAGUAACUCGUGCAGAGGUCUGCCCAUUCGUGAGUGGCGGUGAAUUAGAUGCAGCCCUCCUCACCUGGAAUUGCCUUCUUGGAGAGGAGGGGAGAAGGGCCCUGGGUGGGGAGGAUCUGUCUUCUGUAUUAGGAGAGGAGGCUUCUGGAUGGAGAGCUGGACAAAGCAUGGAGGCACUUGGGCCCUGCUCCUUGCCCACGCCCAGCAUCUGUCCUUCAAGACUUGGCAGCUGCAGUCCUCGGCUGAGCGUUAAAUGGGAUCACAUGGGAGCCAGGAGCUGGACUUCGGCCAAAGCUGGCAGCAGCUGGCCUGGGACCAACUGUCCACCUCUCCUUGGGGAGGUGCUGCUACCCAGGAGCCCUUCCAGGAAACCACACCCCGCUUCAUCUUUUCUGGAGCAUGUUUUUCUUUUUCUCCCUCUGGACCAACCUCCCAAGUGACUCUUUACUCCUGAAGAUAUCUAUCUCUGCCCUAAAGUCCAGCUUCUCCUUGGCUGGGGAGAUGUUUCCUGGCUGGAGAACAAGAGUUGGCAAGAAGCAGGGGGCAGAAAAAGGGAACUGCUGGGCCAGGCAGAAGGUGAGGGGGCCUGUGUCAGAUGCGCCUGGAAGGCUCCCUGCCUCAGACCCCCAGAACUGGGGGUGGGAGGGUGGUCCGUUCCUAUAACACCCACCCCCCACCCCCACCCCGCUUACCUCGUAGACUCUGCCUGGGAGCGUCCCAGGACCAAGCCCAAUGAGUGGGGACCCCCGUGUCCCCCCAGAUCACCUUUCUCUGGGCUUCCUGCUGCCUGAGGCUGAGCGAGUGUGGGGAAGGCCCUGCCCACCCCAAUGCAGGAGCUCCAAGGCACAGGCUUCUCUCAGGAGGGAGGAAAGAAAAGAAAAACAUUCCCCAGAAAAGAGUCCGUGGGGUGCGACUUCCCCAGAAGGCCUCCCGGACAGCACCUCCCAGGGGAGUGGUGGGCAGUACAUUCCGGGCUGGGUAGGGCUAGCUUUGUUCGAUGCCCAGCUCCAGAUGAGCUUACACAUGUUACAUAAUCUCCCUUAACCCCCCCCCUUCCUCGCAUUUAAAACAAGGAUAAUAAUAAUAACUCCUCUUAGAACUGUCGAGGGGACUAAAUGAGAUAAUACUUUUAAAUUUCCUAGCACAUAGGAAGGGGCUUGGCUCAGAGGAAACCGUUCAAUAGAUGCUACUCAUUCAUUCAUUCACUCGGCAUCUACCGUGUCUCAGGCACUAGGUUCCCAGCAUACACCAGUAAACAGAACAAGCAAGGAGCCCUCCCUGUCCUUGUACAUUCAACUGGGGGUGGGGGAGACAACAACACAUGAGCAGCAUAAAUGAUUAAAUGAUACAACACGUUAGAAGGUCAAAGUGUUAUGGGAAAAAAAAAGGAAACGUAUAGCAGGUUGAGGUAAUGUAAUAAGGUUGUAUUUUUCUCCGGAAUGUGGAGCACUUUUGGCCUCAGUCCAUCGCCCUGUCAGAGUUGCCAGCAUCCAAUGACAGGAAUGAGGGUGAGUAGGUGAAGGCAUGGCUCACACGGACCGCGCCGGCCCCCUCGGCUGCUGAGUCACGCUCCCCAGGGUUCACAGAGGCACCGGUCCAAAGCCGGGCUGAGUCAUCAAAGGAUGAAUCGCAGGAUUCUUCUUGAGCCUGUCACCAUGGCAGUGGAGAACUCUGAUGCCCCAUCACCCCCAUUCCCCGCCGAGCUGUUCCAAACAAACUCUCUGCAGGUACAGGCCCUUCGGAUGGAUGAGUCAUUUCUCUACCUGGGCCCAAAGAUUCCUCACCCAGGGCUUCAGGUGCAGCCCUGCCAAUCAAGGGAAUCUGUGGUCCCAAGAAGACCUGCUUUUUUUUUUUUUUUAAUUACUGCUCCUGUCCU